rnacentral:rRNA from 1 species
GCAACCCGCCCACAUGAAGUCGGAGUUGCUAGUAAUCCCGAAUCAGCAUGUCGGGGUGAAUGCGUUCCCGGGCCUUGUACACACCGCCCGUCACGCCAUGGGAGCUGGUAAUACCCAAAGUCGGUGCACCAACCGCAAGGAGGAAGCCGCCUAAGGUAGGAUCAGUGACUGGGGUGAAGUCGUAACAAGGUACC